UACGUAGGGUGCGAGCGUUAAUCGGAAUUACUGGGCGUAAAGUGUGCGCAGGCGGCCGUGCAUGUCGAGUGUGAAAUCCCCGGGCUUAACUUGGGAAUUGCGCUCGAAACUACGUGGCUCGAGUGUGGCAGAGGAAGGUGGAAUUCCACGUGUAGCGGUGAAAUGCGUAGAGAUGUGGAGGAACACCGAUGGCGAAGGCAGCCUUCUGGGCCAACACUGACGCUCAUGCACGAAAGCGUGGGGAGCAAACAGG
rnacentral:rRNA from 1 species